ACGAAGCUCCUUACAUAAGCGAGGAGCGCCCCGGGCUUUCGAAACGUGCCGGCUGACAGCGCGGAGCUGCCUUGCUCCUGCUCUUAGCGAGCCUGGAAUCACCACAGAAAGGUUUAUCGCUAAGAGUCUCUGAGGCGUUCAAGGUUUUUCCCAGACAAGAUGCCUUCUCAGACAAAAUUUGAAGUCCUGCUGGAAAGUGGAGGAGAUGAAAUACCUUACCUGCAAAAUUCUUCCGAAGGGUAGCAGGAGGCUCACAUGCUCUCAGCGCACAUCUUCAGCAAAAAGUGUGCACAGCCCGUACAUAAUGGAAUAAUGGAAGAUAGAUCCAUCUGAAAAAGGCCUCAGGAGGUCAUCUUUGCCAUUACCUUAUCUCCAGGCAGGACUGACCUCUGAAUUUGAAACAGGACAGUAGUUUUAAGUUAAUCCAGCAAGAGGUUUACACUGACCAACUGCACAACAGACUUCCCAGCAAGGACAACUCUGAAGCUAUGGAUGGAUAGUCUGACUACCUGUCUUCUUAGGAGAAUUCGUUCAGUGCAAAGAAAACGUUCAGUGACUUGAAAUAUUUCUGUAUGUAUAUCAUCUAGUCAACAAAAUUGCUGAAAAAACAUCACCGUGUGAUCUUCGUGGAUGUGUGGGAGAAGGUAUCGCAGCUGUCAGGGAAUGACUGUACCACUCCUUGCUGGAAAGAAGUCAAAUGUUUCAGAAGCAGUCAUUUAUAGUCUGGUGGGAUUUCUGCUAAACACACGGGAUGUACAGACUGUCGAUAACUUCCAGGAAGAUAACUGCUGAUUCAUCCUGGCAGGACCCGCUCUCAGGCUGAGCUCUCCCUAGAUCCCAAUCAGCAGAAAGGCUCCCAGCUAUAACACUGACACCAGCUCAAAGGAUUCUACUUUGAAAUUCUCACAUAAGCUGAUGGUCUACAAGCAAUCACUGCAUCUCAGGCUGCUUUAGAAGUGUGAGAAACAACUAGAAAGCCAAAGUCUUCCGGAAAGAUUCUUCUGCCAUUUGGCACAUCUGUGGUGGAAAACAAAACCAGCCAUAUUUAUACACAAUUCUGUCACCUGCAAAUACAAGUAUUUGGCCAAAAACAAUCCUCGGAAAUCAAGCCUACAGCAUUCACCACUCCCACCCUUUACAAGGGAUGCAAAGUCAUCUUGCCAGAGUUUUGCUUACUGAUGCUCAAUCUGAAGCCUAUUUAGGAAUCCUUGCAUUUCUGCAAAUAGACAAGUCUAGAUAUCUUAUGUCAACAGUUUUGAAAGGUUUGAUCCCACUGAGGAUGUUUCAGGUACACAAAGUUGCCAAACAUUUUAGCUGCUCAGUGAUAGCACAAAGCGCUCUACACUUUCCAGGAUUAGGUCACAACCCUCCUUUUGCUGUUAUUGAUUAAAGCUCUUUGUUUCUUUGCUUCCCUCCCCCUUUCCCUAUCUGAAUUGUCACCAAGGGUGACAGCUAUCAGGUGCAUCUAUCCUCUGUGCACACACUGGAAAUUGAUACUAUUGGAGACACAUGAAGAAAAGAGAAAGGGGAACAUUCAGCAGCUAUCAGCAAAUCUAACCAGAAUUCAAAAAGCUUUUCCACAGAUCGACCUAAAUGAGAGAGAGGUUUUGUUUUUUUCCCUUUAUAAGCAUUGUUGAGGAUCAGAGCAGUCAGAAAUGUUUAGUAUUAGAACUCCUUUCUAAACUCCAAAAAUUAUGCACAAAACACCUAAACACUAAAACACAUUAUAGGAACCCUUCCAUGCAAUAAUCUGUGCCAACAGCUGGAGGAUGACAGUAGAUAAGUUUGUGUUUUCAAGCAGCAGUGCCCUUUGCCUUACUGCAGCUCACCAUAAUUAAGGCCCUGAGUAAGGCCAGAUUCACCAGCACAUUAAAGAGGAGCUAUUUUUGUAUGUGAACGCAAAUGAACAAAUGUAAUUUCUAACCAUUAACCUCCUGGAGAAGACAGCAAGUGAGCUCAAGGAUGAUUAGUGAUUUUCAUUGUUUCUAGGGAAACUUUGCCAGGACCUAAAUGUAUACAGAAAGUCAGUGCAUCGCCUGACUCAGGUCUAAAACGGCAACGAGCCCAUUACAGAAAUUCUGCCUCCUCAAAACUGGUAUCCUUGGUGUGGAGAAGAUGCUGAGAAGCUCAUGGAGCCAAUUCCUAAGUCCUUUCCUUUGCAGAUUCCCACUUAUGCAGAGCUCGAUACUUUGGGCUUACUGCUCUGAUGAUUCAGAGAUGAAUUCCAGCAAGAACUUCAGUACACAAGGCUCGCUGGGAAGACCCACUCCUUAUCUCCACUUCUGAAAUACAUGAACUCUAGACUGAUGGAGAAGGUCUGAGUAGACAGGGAAGAUAUUAGGCUAAAAAUCUCUCCUGCUUUUGACAGUCAAAAAGAACUACCAGCAUGGAUGUAAGGAGCACUAUCUGCUGAGCGUGCCCAUGAAGCUCCUGUGUGACUUUCCAGUGACAGGACUCGAGGGAAUGGCAUGGAGCUGCAUCAGGAGACAGUUGAGUUGGUGUUAGGAAGAGGUUCUUUGCUGAUAGGGUUGUUGGGCACAGCACAGGCUUCCCAAGGUCACAACCCUGAACUGCUGGAGUUCAAUGAGCACUUGACCACUGCUUUCAGACAUAGGGUUUGGAUUUCGAGUGG